UGGCCCAGCAAGAUUCUUUUAUGUUUGCCUCAUAAAUAAUUGGGAGAAAUUUCUUCACAAAACUUGAUGAAUCAGCAGUAAUAAUAUGACUAUCCAUUACAUGAUCCAACAUCAAUGAAUCUUUAAUUUAGAGCAAAGCAUUUCAUCGAACAGUUUGCUUGCACUCUUACCAAUCGUAUUCCUCUGACAUGAGUGAGUUUUGUAGCCCAUCCACAACCUGAAAUGAGCUCCUCAUAAUAUUGGAAUCAAUAGAGAGCAGUAAAUAGAAAUUGAAAAUUGAUAAACGCAGCCCCAAGUGACUUUGUGUGGGCAUUAUUAAAAUAGGUUAUAGCCUCCAUAAAGUCCCAAAUUCAGUUUUGAAAUAGUAGUUGGAAUACCUCUAAAUUUGCAACAAGUGUGGCUGAAGGGAUGGAAAUUAAAAUUUAAUACCAUCUUUCUGAGACCGCAGUGCCGGUAUAUAGUCAUUUCACAUUCGUAUACAUUAUAAUUGGAAGAAGAAGUAAUCGCCUUGGCCCCAUCGAGAAUUAAAAGGAAAAAUUGUCCAUAAAUUGAAGUACACAACCUGGAAAACUAUAGCAUAAUGAGAAUCUAUAACCUAUAAGUCACUAAUUUUCUACAAUUGAAAGAGACGUCCCAUGCUGGAUAAAUGGAGGCCAAAAGAAUCUGUCAAAUGAAGAUGAUUGU
rnacentral:lncRNA from 1 species